GAUGAACGCUGGCGGCGUGCCUAAUACAUGCAAGUCGAGCGAACGGACGAGAAGCUUGCUUCUCUGAUGUUAGCGGCGGACGGGUGAGUAACACGUGGAUAACCUACCUAUAAGACUGGGAUAACUUCGGGAAACCGGAGCUAAUACCGGAUAAUAUUUUGAACCGCAUGGUUCAAAAGUGAAAGACGGUCUUGCUGUCACUUAUAGAUGGAUCCGCGCUGCAUUAGCUAGUUGGUAAGGUAACGGCUUACCAAGGCAACGAUGCAUAGCCGACCUGAGAGGGUGAUCGGCCACACGGGAACUGAGACACGGUCCAGACUCCUACGGGAGGCAGCAGUAGGGAAUCUUCCGCAAUGGGCGAAAGCCUGACGGAGCAACGCCGCGUGAGUGAUGAAGGUCUUCGGAUCGUAAAACUCUGUUAUUAGGGAAGAACAUAUGUGUAAGUAACUGUGCACACCUUGACGGUACCUAAUCAGAAAGCCACGGCUAACUACGUG
rnacentral:rRNA from 1 species